rnacentral:rRNA from 1 species
CAAUAGCGUAUAUUAAAGUUGUUGCAGUUAAAAAGCUCGUAGUUGGAUUUCUGGUGGGAGCGAUCGGUCUGGCGCUUAGCGCGAGUACUUGCAUCGUCUCCGGCCAUCCUUGGGGAGAGUCUGUCUGGCAUUAGGUUGUCGGGCAGAGGAUCCUCAUCGUUUACUGUGAAAAAAUUAGAGUGUUCAAAGCAGGCUUAUGACGUUGAAUAUAUUAGCAUGGAAUAAUAAGAUAGGACUUUGGUACUAUUUUGUUGGUUUGCGCACCAAAGUAAUGAUUAAUAGGGACAGUUGGGGGUAUUCGUAUUCCGUUGUCAGAGGUGAAAUUCUUGGAUUUACGGAAGACGAACUACUGCGAAAGCAUUUACCAAGGAUGUUUUCAUUAA